rnacentral:rRNA from 1 species
ACAUGCUUACAAUAUAGCAUUAAUGCACCGGAUCCCAUUAGAAAUUCGUAGUUAAGCACAUUCAGGAUAGAGUAGUUAUGGGAUGGGUGAUCACCCAGGAAGUCCUAGUGUUUUACAAGCC